rnacentral:rRNA from 1 species
UGGUGUUACUGCGAAGGGGGGACGGAGAAGGCUAUGAUAGCCGGGCUACGGUUGUCCCGGUUUAAUCAUGUAGGCUGUUUAUCAAGUAAAAUCCGGAUAAUCAAGGCUGAGGUGUGAUGACGAGGCACUACUGUGCUGAAGUAACAAAUGCCCUGCUUCCAGGAAAAGCCUCUAAGCAUCAGGAAACAUCAAAUCGUACCCCAAACCGACACAGGAGGUCAGGAAGAGAA